AGUCUUUGGAGGAACAAGUUCAGAAACUCAAGGAAAUCCGUCACGUCGUGAAAUGUGCUUGUGGGGAGGAAUAUCUAGUGGCAGUGAGUAGGUGAAUAGAAUACAAAAGAAAAUGAAACUUCAACAGCAAGUGAAAUGAUCCUCAAUUGUUUGAAGCGCUCGAAUAGAUAAUAAUUUUCCAGUUUUGUUUGAGCAUUCCUUGUGCUUCUGUUCUGUGUUUCACAAAUUACAAGUCUUUCAUAUGAAAUAUAUCGCAGUUAUGCAUCUA